GGGUGCGUAGCUCAAUGGACAGAGCCUUCAAAGCAGUACGAUGUUGGUUCGAAUCCUGCCGCGCCCG
rnacentral:tRNA from 1 species